CUAACAUCUAUGCAAGUAUUUGGGUGCAAAACCCUGAUGCGUAAUGAAAGUAAAGGCAGACUCGUUUCUGCUGAGGUAGGAAUCCUUUGUCACAGAGGGAGGCACUAUCGACCGAUCAUCACUUGUGAAAGAUUUGAGUAAGAGCAUAUCUGUUGGGACCCGAAAGAUGGUGAUCUAUGCCUGAACAGGGUGAAGCCAGGGGAAACUCUGGUGGAGGCUCGUAGCGAUACUGACGUGCAAAUCGUUCGUCUGAUUUGGGUAUAGGGGCGAAAGACUAAUCGAACCAUCUAGUAGCUGGUUCCCUCCGAAGUUUCCCUCAGGAUAGCUGGAACUUAUACAGUUUUAUCAGGUAAAGCUAAUGAUUAGAGGUUCCGGAGCUGAAACAGCUUUGACCUAUUCUCAAACUUUAAAUAGGUAAGAAAUCCUGUGUUACUUAACUGAACCAGGAUAUCGAAUGGAAGUUCUUAGUGGGCCAUUUUUGGUAAGCAGAACUGGCGAUGCGGGAUGAACCGGACGUUGAGUUACGGUGCCAAACUAUUCGCUCAUCUAGAUCCCUCAAAAGGUGUUGGUUCAUUUAGACAGCAGGACGGUG
rnacentral:rRNA from 1 species